rnacentral:RNase_P_RNA from 1 species
GAGGAAAGUCCGGGCUCCGCAGGGCGGGAUGCCAGGUAAUGCCUGGGAGGUGAAAACCUAUGGAAAGUGCCACAGAAAAUAUACCGCCCCGCCGCGCACGCGCGCUGGGGUAAGGGUGAAAUGGUGCGGUAAGAGCGCACCGCGCUGCUGGUAACAGCAGUGGCAGGGUAAACCCCAUCCGGAGCAAGACCAAAUAGGGAAGCAUGCGACUGGUUCGCAAUCUGUGGCCCGCAGAUGCUUCCGGGUAGGUUGCUUGAGGCAUUCGGUGACGAAUGACCCAGAUGAAUGACUAUCCGUUGUCUCCAGGCUAAUGGAGAUUCUGACAGAAUCCGGCUUAU